AAUUUAGUCCUUUUUAAUUAAUUGACUAUCCAAACGUUAAAAUUUUCUAACGAAACUUUUAUACUAACUCAAUGACACUCCAUAAAUAUUUAUAAAAAUAUUUAUGGUCCGGCUUAUGAACUCGAGGUCUCGAUACCUCGUUUUAGACCCAAUUUACCUAUUAAAUUCUUUUUAAAUCACAAAAUUAAAUAAAUCACAAAAUUCACUAAUUCAAAAAUUCUUCUAAAUUCACACUUGGCCCAUAAUUAUUAAUUUAUUAAAUUUUAAGAC
rnacentral:lncRNA from 1 species